UACGGAGGGUGCGAGCGUUGUCCGGAAUCACUGGGCGUAAAGGGCGCGUAGGCGGCGCGGAUAGUCGGCGGUGAAAGCCCGGGGCUUAACUCCGGGUCUGCAUUCGAUACGGGUCUGCUGGGGUCCGGCAGGGGAGACUGGAAUUCCUGGUGUAGCGGUGAAAUGCGCAGAUAUCAGGAGGAACACCGGUGGCGAAGGCGGGUCUCUGGGCCGGUACCGACGCUGAGGAGCGAAAGCGUGGGGAGCGAACAGG
rnacentral:rRNA from 1 species